GGCAAUGUCCUCUGGUUUGCGGAGAGAAAGGAACAUGAUGUGGCCCAGUGCUCUUUCACCAACUUGUGUCCUUCAGGGGAGGAGAAGCCCUCCUGUUUUGCAUGCAAAUUGCUUUUGAUGUCAGUUGCAGAACUUCUGUUGGCUACCUUCUAGAACUUGAAGAGAGCUUAUGGGCAGGAGGAGCACCAACUUUUUACAAGGCCUAAUAGUGAUAGGACAAGGGAGAGUGAUUUCAAACUAAAAGGGGAGAUAGAUGUUAGGAGGAAAUUCUCCACUGAGAGGGCGGUGAGGCGCUGGCACGGCUGCCGAGAGAAGCUGCGGUGCCCCAUCCCUGGAGGCGCUCAAGGCCAGGUUCGUGCUCUUGCUGGUCCCGUGCACAGCUGAACUCCCGAAGCUGUGCGUACUCAUCGCUCCUCCCAUCCCGCAGCGGUACGGCUGGAGGACAGGUGAGUGCGGCUCCAUCCGAACGACGAGCGUGCAGACGGGUCGCUCCCCAGAGCGGGUGGGAAGGGACGUGGGAUUCACACGAAGGCCGGUUUAGCCAAAAGGUGGCACUGCGGCUGCACGGAUUCGCAGCCGAUCGGCGGUCCCGCAGUAGAUGAGCCUUUCGGUCCGUGUAUCCGAA
rnacentral:lncRNA from 1 species